rnacentral:rRNA from 1 species
GAGUUUGAUCCUGGCUCAGGAUGAACGCUGGCGGCGUGCUUAACACAUGCAAGUCGAACGGGAAACCUAUUAUUGAAGCUUCGGCGGAUUUAGUUUGUUUCUAGUGGCGGACGGGUGAGUAACGCGUGGGUAACCUGCCCUAUACAGGGGGAUAACAACCAGAAAUGGUUGCUAAUACCGCAUAAGCGCACAGGACCGCAUGGUCCGGUGUGAAAAACUCCGGUGGUAUAAGAUGGACCCGCGUUGGAUUAGCUGGUUGGUAGGGUAACGGCCUACCAAGGCGACGAUGCGUAGCCGACCUGAGAGGGUGACCGGCCACAUUGGGACUGAGACACAGCCCAAACUCCUACGGGAGGCAGCAGUGGGGAAUAUUGCACAAUGGGCGAAAGCCUGAUGCAGCGACGCCGCGUGAGCGAAGAAGUAUUUCGGUAUGUAAAGCUCUAUCAGCAGGGAAGAUAAUGACAGUACCUGACUAAGAAGCACCGGCUAAAUACGUGCCAGCCGCCGCGGUAAUUC